rnacentral:pre_miRNA from 1 species
GCAUGUCGAGGCAGAUAGCCAUACUCAGCCAAGAAUGACUUGCCCGCAUACUGUUAUGAAGUAUUGUUCCACAUGCGCAUUUCAGUCCUGCGGGUAGGUUAUUCUUGGCAAAGCAUCGCUAUCUCCUUUUUCAUGC